UCAAACCUCCAUUGUGAAUAAAUUCCUUGACUCCUGGGAAGUGAUAGGUAAUGUCCAGGUCGCCCACAAUAAACUUAACUGGUACUUUAAUUUGUAACCCAGUCCAAGGUGCUGUCAACUCCCAGUUUAGAUCCAAACAUCGAUAGUAGUUCAACCCUCCAGUGAAGCCUUUCUGGUUAAAUUUGCUGACAUAAUAAUUGAUAUCCUCUUCUGACAGCCAAGGCGGCAAACUUGGAGGGUCAGGUAAACCUCUGAAUCCUAUUUCUUUAGGCACACAAGGUGGCUUUGGAUUCCGAGAUGUAAAAAAUCUUCUUAUUAUUUUUUCAGUACCAGCUUGGGAAAAGUCAUCUUCAAUCUCACCUGGUUCCUGAAACCUGCACAUGUAGAAAUCAUCGCCUAAUACUUGUCUAAAUCUUUCCACGGGCUUCACGUGAGGGUUUCUGGGCGAGAAUACGACGCUGGUAUUAACCAAGGCCUUGAUUCUAUCAGGCCUAAACAAGCAAAAAUCCCAAGCCAUUGACGCACCCCAGUCAUGACCCACAAGAAACACCUGAUCAAUACCCAGAUAGUCAAGCAACCCAACAAGGUCGCCGACGAUGUGGAGUACAGUGUACUGAGUGAAGGAAGGAGGAGCAUCAGUGUCGCCGUAGCCGCGAAGGUCGGGGGCGAUGCAACGGUAGCCAAGGGAGGAGAGGGAGAGGAGCUGGUGGCGCCAGGUGUACCAGAGCUCAGGGAAGCCGUGUAGAAAGAGAAUCACAGGGCCGGUUCCUAUAGAUGCUAUGUGCAUGUUUAUGCCAUUUGUGGGCACUAUUGCGUGCUGUAUAUUCUCCAUUUGUGCCGUUGACGAUAUUUUGGAGCUUUGUCGUGAAGGGCGCUGUGUAAUCUUGCAAAAGACUGGUAGCAAAUGCUAACAAAAAGAG
rnacentral:misc_RNA from 1 species